rnacentral:tRNA from 1 species
GGAAAGAUGGCCGAGUGGUCGAAGGCGCACGCCUGGAAAGCGUGUGUACCCCAAAAGGGUAUCAAGGGUUCGAAUCCCUUUCUUUCCG